rnacentral:lncRNA from 1 species
UUAUGCCUGAUGUGCAUGACCUGGCUCUCGCUCUUAUUUUUGACUUGCAUCACCUCUCCAACAUUCCUUGUUCAAGAAAAUCCAAAAUCGAAGGCCAAAGAAGUUGGUGGUUCAAAGAUGAAGCAAGAGAUGAGAUCACUAAGUGCAAUCACACAAAUACUUGAAUAACCUUGCCACUUGUCACAGAUCCUGUGAACUGACUUGGAAAUAAGGCAGUACGAAGAGUUGGGUCAAGCUACUGUGUUUUUGGUGUGACGACCUUCAUGGCACCAUGUGUUGCCGAAGCAAUUGUUUGUGAAGUCCUUUCCCAGUCAGCUUCCUUCAAUUAGAAUGGGCAAAUAGCAAUACAAAAAGUAACAGGAAACAUCUAUAAGCUUAUACGAUAAAGGUCAAAUCAUUGUGACGUUGAGUAUUAGUUUGAAUGUGAUUUACUGUGGUCAGUAUUUUCUGACUUUUUUUGUCAAGAUUAACCACCCGAGUUGUCUCUUAACUGCAAGUGUAGUGUUUAGCUCAUCCGUGAGAAAGCCUCUCUUGUAAUUGCAACUCCACUGAUUCUGGAAAGUGUCGAAUUGCCUGGAUAUUAUUGAAUCAGUCUGUCACUUUGGACACCAAUAACCUGGUGCAGAGGUGGAAAACCUUGAAAUUGGCUAUCAGUAGCUAAGAAUAGCUGACCCCCUUGAGGGACAGGAAAGGUGGCCAAGCUAGAUGUGGGAUAAGCAGAAAUGCAGUCAAAACCAAAUCCCUUUGCAUUCUUCAAGAACUGGCUUUAUGCCCAAUUUUAGCUGUGAAGUUCUUAAGGAAUGGUAUACUGUUCUGAUCACAGGUGCUUUGCAGACAAUAUUUUGAUUGCACUAGAAAGCCACUCAACAUGGAAGCAUCCGCGCUGCUGGAAUGAAAGGUGACCAGUCGUAGUAGCUUAUGAUGGACCUCACGUUAUGUAGGUUAUCAUGUGUCUCAAGAGGAUGACAUAUGACUAAGUUCAUCUUAAAUUCUCUCCUAAAAUUGUAGACUUUUGAUGUACUCAAACUAGUCAUUAAUGUUCAUUCUUGAGAGGUUUGUAGGCAAACUGAAGCUCCAAACAGUUAGACGUAAACGCCAUUAGUAGCGGAAUCUCUAUUGAUAUGCCAAACUGCUGGAAUUUUUCUUCUUCCUUUUUUUUUUCAGUGUCAAACCGCUGGAAUUAAAUUGUAUAAGCACAAAGAUAUGCUUUUGUAGGCCAGCUUACUGUCGUUUGCUUACAGGGUUCUUGCACUAUACCCUUGUAGAUGUCCUUGCCAACUUUAUGAGCUGCAAUCAUAGCAUUCUCCUUAACCAUUCAGUUAUCAGUAGCCACACACCUGACAUAGCUACAGCGAGACUUCUUGUAUCCAAGUGCCACUGCUCCUACUGAAAUGUUUGAAAUCGAAGUUGAAACAUUCACCUCAAAUUCUGAAAGAGUUAUUGAAAAUGUUUAGUGGUUCAAAGAUGAAGCAAGAGAUGAGAUCUGUGAGGGCAAUCGCACAAAUGACUUAUCUUCGACACAAAGAGUUGGACUAAGCUUGCAUUUUUUUUUUAAUACUGUAGUGUUCGGGCCAGCUUGUGUGUACUUCGACUACCACACCGGGUACCUGCUAUCUCUAAUUAGCACAGGUUCCAUGAAGAUUAUCCAUGGUGAUCCUAUGCUUCAUGCGCAAAGAGUUGCUACUAUCAAGCUCCCAUGCCGCUAGCCAGGCCUGCUCAGUCUCCUGAACGGUUGAUCAUUAGGGUUUAAAUGGAGAAAAGGGAGGGGGCGGGGUUGUUACAUUUGAAUGUUGGGACGAUCAAAAUUGUGUAAUAUGUAGUUCUAAAUUGUCAUGUCAACUAAAUUGGAAUUGAGACGCAGUUGAUUGAUUAGGAUGCAAAACAUGUUGGAAAGAAAAUAUCUCCUAUAAUUGGAUCGACAUCUACUGCAUCAAGCUGCCAGUCAGUUGAGUUGCAAUCCCGCCAUGACUUCCCCUGAAUGCUUCAACAAUGUCUAGGUCCUACUUUUGGGUCAUCUCCAUUUUUGCCAAUACAUAAGUCCUUUGACCUACACCGUAUAUCAAGAUAUCAAGCCACAAAGUAAACAUCUCAGAAAUUCAAAAGAAUGAGGAAGCUCAACAUUUCUUGGAAUUAUAAGCUCAACAUCAUCUACUACUUUUGACUUGAACUAUAUUUAAUUUUGAAACAUAUGUGUAUAUAUAAGUAUGCACAUGUUAUCAUAAAUGACCAAUGAAAACGGUCAGUGGCAAAGACACGUAAUUACAAGGGGUGUCAUUGGACUCUAGUUUGCCUGAAAAAUUUACUAAAUAUAUUUCAACAACCCACUGUGAUAAUAGACCAACACCGCGUGAACAAAAUCCUAAAUUCACUACUGACUCACUAACUAACUCAAAAAAAAAAAAACUCAAAAUGUUGAAUACUGUUAGAGCAAGAUAAUGUUGGCAAGCAAUCCAUGCUACAAAUUUUCUUAUGACAAUAAAUAACAAGGUUGAUCUGAUCUUGGAAACCAAGUUCACAUACCUGUUUGGUGUGGUGGUGGCAAAUUUUGGAAAUCAAGGUUUGGACCUUGUUAUUUAACAAUUCUACCAUCUGGGACCAGUGUAAGGCACUCUACCCUCAAUAUCAAAAGCGUGGGCUUCAGAGCCUAUUGUUGGAAGUUGAAGCUUUUUGAAGGAAUAAAGCAUAUGGGCGUGAAUGAGUUGUUUGUCUAUCGGAAACAGACCCUUUCAGGUAUGGGUAAGGCUGUAGUAGAAAUUUACUGGGCUUAUUGUUGUUGUUGUUGUUAUUGCGCGUGAAUAAGUUGCUGAAGGCAGCAAUACAAUUCUAUGAGAAUUGAGAGCAUAGUCAUCACUUG